AAAAAAAGGCAGUGGCAGCAUCCUAGCUAAUGAGGUUUAUCCAAGACACGAUUAUUGCUAAUUGAAAACUCUUCUGCAAUGUGUAAGGGCUUUCUUCAUGUACUUGUUCUUUUAUAUUCAAAUUCAUUUAUUUUUGAUGCUUUAAUUCUGAA
rnacentral:snRNA from 1 species